GCAUGGUUCUAUUCAUAAUCAGGCUCUGAAAUGUGGUGAUUUAGCUGAUUUUUGAAAAAUUUUACUACGCUUUACAACCAAAAAAUUGUGUGUCCGUUACCAUGGCAACCACUCAUAUUUUCCCACUCAAAAUUAUUUUUUGAGCAGGAUUCAUUUAUUGCUUCUACUAGGCCAAUUAUAGAUAAAAUCUGAAACCCCCCAUGUAUCACAUGUAUAUGGCACUCUGCCUGGUUCUUAUAAAGAGCUGUACAUAA
rnacentral:lncRNA from 1 species